rfam:Picea glauca, whole genome shotgun sequence.
AAAAUGGUGUCUUUAGACACCACCAAUCUUGUUGGAAUAUUAUUC